rnacentral:rRNA from 1 species
GACGAACGCUGGCGGCGUGCUUAACACAUGCAAGUCGAACGCUGAAGCUCAGCUUUUGUUGGGUGGAUGAGUGGCGAACGGGUGAGUAACACGUGAGUAACCUGCCUCCUUCUUUGGGAUAACGCCCGGAAACGGGUGCUAAUACUGGAUAUUCACUGGUCUUCGCAUGGGGGUUGGUGGAAAGGGUUUUUCUGGUGGGGGAUGGGCUCGCGGCCUAUCAGCUUGUUGGUGGGGUGAUGGCCUACCAAGGCGUUGACGGGUAGCCGGCCUGAGAGGGUGACCGGUCACAUUGGGACUGAGAUACGGCCCAGACUCGUACGGGAGGCAGCAGUGGGGAAUAUUGCACAAUGGGCGAAAGACUGAUGCAGCGACGCCGCGUGAGGGAUGGAGGCCUUCGGGUUGUGAACCUCUUUCGCUCAUGGUCAAGCCGCAACAAUGGUUGUGGUGAGGGUAGUGGGUAAAGAAGCGACGGCUAACUACGUG